AGCAUAGCUCAGUUGGCCAGAGCAGCUGAUUUGUAAUCAGCGGGUCGGGGGUUCGAAUCCCUCUGCU
rnacentral:tRNA from 1 species